GACGAACGCUGGCGGCGUGCCUAAUACAUGCAAGUAGAACGCUGAAGAGAGGAGCUUGCUCUUCUUGGAUGAGUUGCGAACGGGUGAGUAACGCGUAGGUAACCUGCCUGGUAGCGGGGGAUAACUAUUGGAAACGAUAGCUAAUACCGCAUAAAAUUGAUUAUUGCAUGAUAAUUAAUUGAAAGAUGCAAUUGCAUCACUACCAGAUGGACCUGCGUUGUAUUAGCUAGUUGGUGAGGUAACGGCUCACCAAGGCGACGAUACAUAGCCGACCUGAGAGGGUGAUCGGCCACACUGGGACUGAGACACGGCCCAGACUCCUACGGGAGGCAGCAGUAGGGAAUCUUCGGCAAUGGGGGGAACCCUGACCGAGCAACGCCGCGUGAGUGAAGAAGGUUUUCGGAUUGUAAAGCUCUGUUGUAAGAGAAGAACGGGUGUGAGAGUGGAAAGUUCACACUGUGACGGUAUCUUACCAGAAAGGGACGGCUAACUACGUGCCAGCAGCCGCGGUAAUACGUAGGUCCCGAGCGUUGUCCGGAUUUAUUGGGCGUAAAGCGAGCGCAGGCGGUUAGAUAAGUCUGAAGUUAAAGGCUGUGGCUUAACCAUAGUAUGCUUUGGAAACUGUUUAACUUGAGUGCAGAAGGGGAGAGUGGAAUUCCAUGUGUAGCGGUGAAAUGCGUAGAUAUAUGGAGGAACACCGGUGGCGAAAGCGGCUCUCUGGUCUGUAACUGACGCUGAGGCUCGAAAGCGCGGGGAGCAAACAGGAUUAGAUACCCUGGUAGUCCACGCCGUAAACGAUGAGUGCUAGGUGUUAGGCCCUUUCCGGGGCUUAGUGCCGCAGCUAACGCAUUAAGCACUCCGCCUGGGGAGUACGACCGCAAGGUUGAAACUCAAAGGAAUUGACGGGGGCCCGCACAAGCGGUGGAGCAUGUGGUUUAAUUCGAAGCAACGCGAAGAACCUUACCAGGUCCUGACAUCCCUCUGACCGCUCUAGAGAUAGAGUUUUCCUUCGGGACAGAGGUGACAGGUGGUGCAUGGUUGUCGUCAGCUCGUGUCGUGAGAUGUUGGGUUAAGUCCCGCAACGAGCGCAACCCCUAUCGUUAGUUGCCAUCAUUGAGUUGGGCACUCUAGCGAGACUGCCGGUAAUAAACCGGAGGAAGGUGGGGAUGACGUCAAAUCAUCAUGCCCCUUAUGACCUGGGCUACACACGUGCUACAAUGGCUGGUACAACGAGUCGCAAGCCGGUGACGGCAAGCUAAUCUCUGAAAGCCAGUCUCAGUUCGGAUUGUAGGCUGCAACUCGCCUACAUGAAGUCGGAAUCGCUAGUAAUCGCGGAUCAGCACGCCGCGGUGAAUACGUUCCCGGGCCU
rnacentral:rRNA from 1 species